rnacentral:rRNA from 1 species
AAUCAACGCUGGCGGCGUGCCUCAGACAUGCAAGUCGAACGCGAAAGGUUCCUUCGGGAGCCGAGUAGAGUGGCGCUCGGGUGAGUAACACGUAGGUAAUUUGCCUUUGGGUGGGAAUAACAAUCGGAAACGGUUGCUAAUACCGCAUAAUGCAGCGGCUCGACAUCGAGACAGUUGUUAAAGCGGGGGAUCCUUCGGGACCUCGCGCCUAAAGAGAAGCCUGCGGCGGAUUAGUCAGUUGGUGAGGUAAUGGCUCACCAAGGCGGCGAUCCGUAACCGGCCUGA